UCGAGGAGCACAGCAGAGGUGGCGGCGGCGAGAUUAUGGUGCGCGCGUUUUUGAUCACUGUGCGGAUUCGGCGCGCUGGGGGCCCGCCGCGAGUGAGGGCUUUCGUGGUGCGGAUCGCGCGGCCCGCGGGUGAGUGGGCAGCGCCGGGUGUGCGGGCCGCAGCGGCCCUGGUGCUAAAGCUAGUGAGGAGCCGUCGCAGAGCGCAUCCUCGAAGAGCAGGUCAUGAUGAUGGGCAGCACCCGCGUGGCCCAGCUGCUGCUGCUCCACGGCGCCGACCCCAACUGUGCCGACCCCGCCACCCUCACCCGCCCUGUGCACGACGCGGCCCGGGAGGGCUUCCUGGACACGCUGGUGGUGCUGCACCGAGCCGGGGCGCGGCUGGACGUGCGCGAUGCCUGGGGCCGCCUGCCCGUGGACCUGGCUGAGGAGCGGGGCCACAGCGCUGUCGCUGCGUACCUGCGCGCAGCCGCGGGGGGCACCGAAAGUGGUAGCCACGCCCGUACGGAAGGUGCGGAAGGUCACGCAGACAGCCCGGACUUCAAGAAUCAUUGAGCUCUAAAGACAGAUCAAGUGGUUUUGAUCUUCAAUCAACAAAAAUGAAUUACCCCACCCAACCCAACUCUUCCCUGCAUGCUUGCCUUAAUCAAAUACC